GAAUUAAACCUAACUUUGACUCUUGUCAAAAUUCUUCCCUUUUAUCAGGGGCGUAACAUUUGGGGGCUUGUCCCGGGCGAAUGUGACGAGGGCCAGCUGUUCCAGAUAGAUGUCCCCGAUCAUCAUUCAACCCAUCUUCACUACAACUAGGGUGGACGACGACGUGUGGUGGUUCAAUAGCUACGGAGAGGGACUUGUAUACAAUCUGAGGUCAACGGGUGCCAGGAGAGUUACGCUGUCUCAUCUGCAAAGUGAAGGUUCUACAUUACACUGACAAUGUCCACAGGAAAAGAGAUUGAAAUGGACUCCUCAGCGCUAGAAGACUUGAAGCUAGAAGUUGGUGGUAAACUGUACACACUGACAAGGGAUGAUUUGAUUGAAGUGUGUGAUUUCCUAACUAUUGCUGGGUCAACUUUUGAGUAUGUAUCAGGUAAAAGCCGUUCGUCUCUCAUCUCACAUGUUAGAAUGCACUUAGAGAGAGAAGAACUAAGUGAACUUGAGGAUCAGGGUAUGGCAGAGCUACUUGUUCUAAAAGAUACAAUUGUUGAGUUACAACAGGCUGCUUUAUUAAGAGAAGAUAACAGAGGAAAAGAGCAGAGUUCAGGUGACAAACAGACAGACGUGGUGCAGGAACAUGUCAUACAGCCGUCAGAAAGAGAAAGUUUGCUUAAAGAGAUAGAGAAACAGUCAGCUUUAGCGUUUUCACUACAGGCAAAACCAGACCGGACCGGUGGGGCCCAAAGGUUAGUGAGUGGGGAAGGUAAUACUAUCAAACAAGACAAUGUGACUGUCUAACAGACCCCCCAACCACGUGUCUCAUUACAGUGGAGCAGAGAAUUCAAAAUAUCAGGCCAGAUUGGUGAGCCAGGUCAAAAAGACAAACUUACAUUCUCUAGUCUAGCACAUCAAAUUGAGCAAGGCAUGAGCAAGGGAUUUCCUGAAAUAGAAAUAGUGGAUGCAGUGAUAAGGGCAAUAGCACCAGGCCUACAACUACGCAGCUACUUGGAGGGAAAAAUCAACCUGACUUUACCUACCUUGAGGAGGAUACUCAGGUCCCAUUACCAAGAAAAAGGAGCAACAGAACUGUACAAACAACUGACCUCAGAGGUCCAAAGUAACAAGGAGACUCCACAAAACUUCCUGAUCCGUGCUCUGGAUUUAAGACAGAAAAUUCUGUUCGCUUCACAGGAGGCAGAAUCUGGUCUAAGAUAUGAUCCUGUCCUCGUACAGAGUAUGUUUUUCCACACUGUUCUCACAGGCCUGCAAAAUGACAACAUUAGAAGUGAUCUUCAGCCGUAUUUGCAACAGACAACAUCAAGUGAUGAGCUGCUCCUCGAAAAAGUUAACAUUGCUUGUGCCAACAAAGCAGAGAGACAAAAUAAAAAUAAACUACUUACCCAGCAGCGGCCAACCGCAGUGCACUCAGCUCAAUCCAGCGAGACAACUGCAGAGAAAAAGGAAAAAAAUACUAAUCUAGACCAAAACAGCAGAUUUCAGCCUGAUGUUCUGAAUGAACUGAAAGAAAUGCAGUCUGAUAUGGCAUUACUGAAAAACAUAGGCGCUGAAGUUGCACAAAUCAGAGAAUCAAUGCGACAGCCUAACCAAGCACAGCCACAGUAUUUCACCUCACCUAUACCACAAGAAUGCAUCCCCCCUCCUCAGUUCCAGUAUCCACAGCAAAACCGCUGGCCACCCCCAGGACCAGGGCAGAGAGGAGAGACAGCUCAAUACCAAAGAGGGUUCGCACCACAACACAACUUCUCCGGGCCAAGUCGUGCACGCUUAAGAAAACGUUUUGGCUGCAAGCAAAAUGGAACUGAGGCAUGAAUCCUUGAUUUCACUCGGUUUAAAAGCCCUGCCUCCAGCAUGCAACUGGCACAUUUGAAAGACAUGGCGGCAGAAAAACUACACAAGUGGACGGAGGCCCAAACCAGAGCCCUCAUUCAACAGAGGACUGACAAUGAGCACCUGUUUACAGGAAAGAGGUUCACAGCCAAGAAGGCCUGGGGAGAGGUUCUGCAGAAGAUGGAGUUGGAGGAGUUGCUCACUCCCACCCAACUGGCAAAAAAGUGGGACAACCUGAAAAGAAAAUAUAAGGAGCUGAAAACCCCCCCUACAGGGACGGGGACAGAUGCGGGGGAGGCCACGGCAGCCACAUGGUCGUGGUUUUCCCUGAUGCAUGAAGCCAUUGGG